CCGUUCUGGCCUCGGACAACCGGCCCCCAGCGCCUGGAGGGCGUCAGAGGAUGUCCAGCAUCCGGUCCCCCAGGACCCCAGGGAGCCUGGGGAAGGCCCUGGAUGCCCCCCUGCCGUCCACCGGGCGGCCACCUCCUGCCCCGCCGGGCCGCGGGGACCCUCCUUGGCCAUUCGGCGCAGCCAUCUGCCGCCAGAGCCGCGAGUCUCCGGGCAGAAGCUGCGGCGACAAGCUGGAGAUAUGUCAGCGCAGUUAUCAGUGGAAGGCAACAUCUGCCUUGCCUGCCACCAACAAUGGGAGGCCAUUUAGUCCGUCCCCUCUUCCCUUUAGCUGCAGACAACAGCUCCCUGUAUUAUAUUUUCUCACUCAAUUAGCACUAUCAUCCUGCUGAAAUGGAGGCCAAUUUACCUAUAAUGACAUCAUUGUUAGGAAGUGGCGGCCCGGGCUGUCACCAGGUUGUGUAGACAGGUCCGUCGCUCUCCACUAACCCUGACGGGGGACGGGCCGGGAGCCGGGCGGGAAGGCAGGGGGCGCCCGGCCGGCCUAUCGGAGGCCACCCCGUCACCUCCGACCACAGACAUUGUUUCCGACAGUCCUCAGGAGCAGUGUGGCGGAAAAUUGAGUCCAGAUUCAUUAGGUUUUCCAGUGUGCCGCUCAAGUCAGUUAAAUUGAUACAUUUCCUAACGAAAUUGAAGUGCUUUUGUGCUGCCAGCGGAAAGCCGGGUGACCGGCCUCGGCCCGCUGAGCAGCAGAACGAGCUGACGGAUCCAUUAGGCGGCUCCCGGCGCCGGCCCCCUCUCCCUCCGUUCCUGGCCCCGCUGUAAAUCUCCGCCAAUUUCGGGCCUAAUCAUCAUUAUAAACCCUUCCUCCGCCCGCUCCUUCGCCCGCCCGCGCCUCGCUCGCAAAAACAGCCCCGCCGCACGCUGAUCAGCCGGACUGCAGGUCUGUCCAGGAAGUCAUGAACGUCAAGAGGACGGCGUGAUCGGCUUUCACAUACGUAUACCCCCCACAGAGGCCCCCAGAUGGAGGACCCAGAAGGCCCCUCUGCCCCCUCCCUAGGGUAACCGCUAUUCCGGUUUUAUCAGGUUAGUCUUGCCUGCUUUUGAACGUCAUAUAUGAGCAAUCAUACAGUGUGUUCCUUCUGCGUCUGGAUUUUUUGCCGAAUUCACGUCGUCGUGCACAUCCAUAGUGAGGUCUUUUUCGUGGCUGCGUAAUAUUCCACUGAGUGAUAUACAGCAGCAUGCUGACCCACCCACCCACUGUUGUUUCCAGCUCGGACCCAUUAUAAGCAAAUCUGCUAUGAACAUUGCUUGUACGUGUGUUUUGGUGCCAUAAAUUCUCAUCUCUUCAAUCUUCUCCUUCCUGGCCCCCACUCCCCCCCACCUCCCUGGACUCAUCUAUUUUUUGCAGAGCUGCUGAGUGAGUUUUGGAAAUGAAAAUGAGGAUUCCUCCUCCUCCUCCACCUCGCUCCUCCUCCCCCUUCUCCUCCUCCUCCCCACCAGCAGGGGGGCAGCCUGGCAGUGGUCAGGGCCCCUCUGAGGACAAGUCCAAGUGAGGCCAGGAGACUGGUCACGUUAUGGAGAUUGAGCAAACCGGAGAAAUCGCUUACGUGGUACCCGUGGUAUUUCUUUCGGACGCUGCCGGCCUGGAAAAUGCAGAAACAGACUCAAAACUCCAAGGUGAGACCCUAUCUCAUCCCGACCCCCAAAAGCACCUCCAGCUGGGCUAAAGUUGGGGCUUUUUGUGUAAAUUGAGGUGAAGUUCACAUAACAUGAAAGUCGCCACUUAAGCCACUUUAAAGCGGACAAUUCAGUGGAAUUUAGUACAUUCCCCGUGUGGUACAACUGUCACUUGUGUCUGGUUCUAGAACAUUCUCACCACCCCAGAAGGAGGCCGGGUCCCCAUCAGCUGUCACUUCCACCCCUCCGCCUCCUGCAGCCACCACCCCAUUUCUGUCUCUGUGGAUUUGCUUAUUCUGGAAUUUUCCUAUAAAUGAAACCCGACAAUGCGUGGUUAUCUACCUCCGGCUUCUCUCACUCAGCAUCAUGUUUUCGAGGUUCAUCCACAUGGUAGCAGGUGUCAGUGUCUCAUUCCUUUUUGUGGCUGAGUAGUAUUCCAUCGAGGGGCUAGAACACACUCUGUUUAUCUGUUCACAUUUGGGCUGUGUCCACCUUUGGCUGCUGUGAAUAGAGCUGCCAUGAACAUCCGUUUUUCAAGUUUUUGUUUGAACCCCUGUUUUCAAUUAUUGGACUGAAAUUUUGGUUUUUUGUUUGUUUGGGUUUUUUUUUUUUUUUUUUGGUGAGGAAGAUUGGCCCUGAUCUAACAUCCGUGCCCAUCUUCCUCUAUUUUGCAUGUGGGACGCCUAUCACAG
rnacentral:lncRNA from 1 species